ensembl:lncRNA
CCGCGAGACCGCUCCGUCUGCAGAUCCCGGCGGGGGGGGCGGCGCCGGGACCCCCCCUGGGCCCCGUCCUGGGGCAGGUGGGGAUUUCCGGGGCUCUUUGAGGCCCUUCUUGAGGCUUGUUGGGGCUCGUGGGGGCCUAUCGAGGCCUGUCGAGGCCUGUUGGGGUCUGUCGAGCCUAUCGAGGCCUAUUGGGACCUAUCGGAGCCUAUUGGGGCUUAUCGAGGCCUAUCGGGACCUGUCGAGGCCUGUCAGGACCUGUUGGGGCUUAUUGAGGCCUGUCGGGGCCUGUCGGGGCCUGUCGAAGCCUGUUGGGGCUUAUCGCAGCCUAUCGUGGCCUAUUGGGGUCUAUUGGGGCCUAUUGGGACCUAUCGCGGCCUAUUGGGGUCUAUCGCGGCCUGUCGGGACCUAUCGCAGCCUAUCAAGGCCUAUUGAGGCCUAUCGAGGCUUAUCGAGGCCUAUCACGGCCUAUUGGGACCUAUUGCGGCCUAUCGAGGUCUGUUGGGACCUAUCGCGGCCUAUCGAGGUCUCUUGGGGCCUAUCGAGGCCUAUCGGGGCCUAUCGCGGCCUAUCGAGGUCUAUUGGGGCCUGUCGAGGCCUAUCGGGGCCUAUUGGGGUCUAUCAAGCCUAUAGGGGCCUAUCGAGGCCUAUUGAGGCCUAUUGGGGUCUAUUGGGGCCUAUCAGGACCUAUCGUGGCCUGUCGAGGCCUAUUGGGGUCUAUCAAGGCCUAUUGGGGUCUAUUGGGGCCUAUUGGGGUCUAUCGAGGCCUAUAGGGUCCUAUCGAGGCCUAUUGAGGCCUAUUGGGGCCUAUUGGGGCCUAUUGGGGCCUAUCGGGGCCUAUCGAGGCCUAUUGAGGCCUGUUGGGGUCUAUUGGGGUCUAUCGAGCCUAUCGAGGCCUAUUGGGGUCUAUCAAGCCUAUAGGGGCCUCUCGAGGCCUAUUGAGGCCUAUUGGGGUCUAUUGGGGCCUAUUGGGACCUAUUGCAGCUUAUCGAGGCCUAUUGGGGUCUAUCAAGGCCUAUCGGGGCUUAUUGGGAAUUAUCGGGGCCUAUCGCGGCCUAUCGAGGUCUAUUGGGGCCUGUCGAGGCCUAUUGGGGCAUAUUGGGGUCUAUCAAGCCUAUAGGGGCCUAUCGAGGCCUAUUGGGGUCUAUUGGGGCCUAUUGGGACCUAUCGCGGCCUAUUGAGGCCUAUUGGGGUCUAUCAAGGCCUAUUGGGGCUUAUUGAGAACUAUCGCGGCCUAUCGCGGCCUAUCAAGGUCUAUUGGGGUCUAUCGAGGCCUAUUGAGGCCUAUUGGGGUCUAUUGGGGCCUAUUGGGGCCUAUCGCGGCCUAUCGAGGCCUAUAGGGUCCUAUCGAGGCCUAUUGAGGCCUAUUGGGGUCUAUUG